UCUGAAGGCAAGAUAGCGCUUGCAGGUUACACACAUGCAAUUAAUGGACCACGAUUCACUGUUAGUAUAACAUAUCUACAUGAAUGUAUUAUCCAGAAAAUAUAACAGGUGUCAGAU